rnacentral:lncRNA from 1 species
AAAAAUAGUCCAAGCCUUUUAUUCAAACCAUCAUAUAAUUGUCUAUAUAAAAAAAAAACAUCAUAUUGCUUAUUACUCCUUUUCUAAUAUAUAUGUGUAAUAUUAUAAUUUAAGUCUAGUUCUUUUUCUCUCUUUGAAAUCUAAGCACACAAAAAAUGAAUGUCGAAAAAUACAUAUGUCCCACUUAAUUAGUACUAGUA